AUUGGAAUCCUUAGUGCUUAUUAGAAAUUUGAAGUUCAGGUCGAAAUGUAUUUAACCAAUUUUAUAUGGAACUGAGAACUACAUCUAUUUAUUACUUAUGGAGACAAUAAUAAUGGCUACCCCGAUGACAGAGACAGAAUAACAAUAUUUUUGGAGCUGGAAUUGAUCGAGCUGCUCAAAUGUUGAACUUCGAAUUAAUUGGUGAAAUAGUAAACACAUGAAAGAAGUAUAUUG